rnacentral:rRNA from 1 species
AUUGAACGCUGGCGGCAUGCCUUACACAUGCAAGUCGAACGGCAGCACGGGUGCUUGCACCUGGUGGCGAGUGGCGAACGGGUGAGUAAUACAUCGGAACAUGUCCUGUAGUUGGGGAUAGCCCGGCGAAAGCCGGAUUAAUACCGCAUACGAACUACGGCUGAAAGCGGGGGACCUUCGGGCCUCGCGCUAUCGGGUUGGCCGAUGGCUGAUUAGCUAGUUGGUGGGGUAAAGGCCUACCAAGGCGACGAUCAGUAGCUGGUCUGAGAGGACGACCAGCCACACUGGGACUGAGACACGGCCCAGACUCCUACGGGAGGCAGCAGUGGGGAAUUUUGGACAAUGGGCGAAAGCCUGAUCCAGCAAUGCCGCGUGUGUGAAGAAGGCCUUCGGGUUGUAAAGCACUUUUGUCCGGAAAGAAAUCCUUGGCUCUAAUACAGUCGGGGGAUGACGGUACCGGAAGAAUAAGCACCGGCUAACUACGUG